rnacentral:rRNA from 1 species
UACAUCGGAACGUACCCAGUCGUGGGGGAUAACACAUCGAAAGAUGUGCUAAUACCGCAUACGACCUGAGGGUGAAAGGGGGGGGAUCGCAAGACCUCUCGCGAUUGGAGCGGCCGAUGUCGGAUUAGCUAGUUGGUAGGGUAAAGGCCUACCAAGGCGACGAUCCGUAGCUGGUCUGAGAGGAUGAUCAGCCACACUGGAACUGAGACACGGUCCAGACUCCUACGGGAGGCAGCAGUGGGGAAUUUUGGACAAUGGGGGCAACCCUGAUCCAGCCAUUCCGCGUGAGUGAAGAAGGCCUUCGGGUUGUAAAGCUCUUUCGGCAGGAACGAAACGGUGUGGGCCAAUACCCUGCAUCAAUGACGGUACCUGAAGAAGAAGCACCGGCUAACUACGUG